UACGGAGGGUGCAAGCGUUAAUCGGAAUUACUGGGCGUAAAGCGUGCGCAGGCGGUUUGUUAAGUCUGUUGUGAAAUCCCCGAGCUCAACUUGGGAAUUGCAAUGGAUACUGGCAGGCUGGAGUAUGGUAGAGGAAGGUGGAAUUCCCGGUGUAGCAGUGAAAUGCGUAGAGAUCGGGAGGAACACCAGUGGCGAAGGCGACUGACUGGACAGAUAUUGACGCUGAGGUGCGAAAGCGUGGGGAGCAAACAGG
rnacentral:rRNA from 1 species